rnacentral:rRNA from 1 species
GUUAUAUGGUCAAGCGAAUAAGCGCACACGGUGGAUGCCUAGGCGGUCAGAGGCGAUGAAGGACGUGGUAGCCUGCGAAAAGUGUCGGGGAGCUGGCAACAAGCUUUGAUCCGGCAAUAUCCGAAUGGGGAAACCCACUGCUUCGGCAGUAUCCUGCAGUGAAUUCAUAGCUGCUGGAAGCGAACCCGGUGAACUGAAAUAUCUAAGUAACCGGAGGAAAAGAAAUCAACCGAGAUUCCCUAAGUAGUGACGAGCGAACGGGGAGCAGCCCUUAAGCUGGAAUGGCUUUAGAAAAACAAUCUGGAAAGAUUGGCCAUAGAAGGUGAUAGCCCUGUAUUUAAAAGGGCCACUCCAGUGAAGACGAGUAGGGCGGGGCACGUGAAACCCUGUCUGAAUAUGGGGGGACCAUCCUCCAAGGCUAAAUACUCCUGACCGACCGAUAGUGAACCAGUACCGUGAGGGAAAGGCGAAAAGAACCCCGGAGAGGGGAGUGAAAUAGAUCCUGAAACCGUGUGCGUACAAGCAGUAGGAGCUCGCAAGAGUGACUGCGUACCUUUUGUAUAAUGGGUCAGCGACUUACUGUUCGUGGCAAGCUUAACCGUAUAGGGGAGGCGAAGGGAAACCGAGUCUGAUAAGGGCGCAUAGUCGCGGGCAGUAGACCCGAAACCGGGUGAUCUAGUCAUGGCCAGGGUGAAGGUGCCGUAACAGGUACUGGAGGCCCGAACCCACGUCUGUUGCAAAAGACGGGGAUGAGCUGUGAUUAGGAGUGAAAAGCUAAUCGAACCCGGAGAUAGCUGGUUCUCCUCGAAAGCUAUUUAGGUAGCGCCUCGGACGAAUACUACUGGGGGUAGAGCACUGUUAUGGCUAGGGGGUCAUCGCGACUUACCAAACCAUUGCAAACUCCGAAUACCAGUACGUACUAUCCGGGAGACACACGGCGGGUGCUAACGUCCGUCGUGAAAAGGGAAACAACCCAGACCCACAGCUAAGGUCCCAAAUUCACUGCUAAGUGGAAAACGAUGUGGAAAGGCAUAGACAGCCAGGAGGUUGGCUUAGAAGCAGCCACCCUUUAAAGAAAGCGUAAUAGCUCACUGGUCGAGUCGGUCUGCGCGGAAGAUUUAACGGGGCUAAGCAGUGAACCGAAGCUUGGGGUGCAUAAAACUUGUUUUAUGCGCGGUAGAGGAGCGUUCCGUAAGCCUGCGAAGGUGGAUUGAGAAGUCUGCUGGAGGUAUCGGAAGUGCGAAUGCUGACAUGAGUAACGAUAAUGCGGGUGAAAAGCCCGCACGCCGAAAGCCCAAGGUUUCCUUGCGCAACGUUAAUCGACGCAGGGUUAGUCGGUCCCUAAGGCGAGGGCGAAAGCCGUAGUCGAUGGGAAGCAGGUUAAUAUUCCUGCACCUCGCGUGAGUGCGAUGGAGGGACGGAGAAGGUUAGGUGUACCGGGCGUUGGUUGUCCCGGGGAAAGGCGGUAGGUUUGGAUCUUUGGCAAAUCCGGGAUCCUUUAAGACCGAGCACCGAGACGAGCCUUUAUGGCGAAGUCACUGAUACCACGCUUCCAGGAAAAGCUCCUAAGCUUCAGCUCACGAAGACCGUACCGUAAACCGACACAGGUGGGUAGGAUGAGAAUUCUCAGGCGCUUGAGAGAACUCGGGUGAAGGAACUAGGCAACAUGGCACCGUAACUUCGGGAGAAGGUGCACCCUUUUUGGUGGCUCAUGCGAGCUAUAGCUGAAGAGGGUCGCAGAAACCAGGCCGCUGCGACUGUUUAUCAAAAACACAGCACUCUGCAAACACGAAAGUGGACGUAUAGGGUGUGACGCCUGCCCGGUGCUGGAAGGUUAAUUGAUGGGGUCAGCCGCAAGGCGAAGCUCUUGAUCGAAGCCCCAGUAAACGGCGGCCGUAACUAUAACGGUCCUAAGGUAGCGAAAUUCCUUGUCGGGUAAGUUCCGACCUGCACGAAUGGCGUAACGACAGCGGCGCUGUCUCCACCCGAGACUCAGUGAAAUUGAAAUCGCUGUGAAGAUGCAGCGUUCCCGUGGCAAGACGGAAAGACCCCGUGAACCUUUACUAUAGCUUUACACUGAACGUUGAGUUCGUCUGUGUAGGAUAGGUGGGAGGCUAUGAAACCAUGGCGCUAGCUGUGGUGGAGCCAUCCUUGAAAUACCACCCUGUCGUGCUUGACGUUCUAACCUAGAUCCGUUAUCCGGAUCAGGGACCGUGUAUGGUGGGUAGUUUGACUGGGGCGGUCUCCUCCUAAAGAGUAACGGAGGAGCACGAAGGUACGCUCAGCGCGGUCGGACAUCGCGCACUGUGUGCAAAGGCAUAAGCGUGCUUGACUGCAAGAUCGACGGAUCAAGCAGGUACGAAAGUAGGUCUUAGUGAUCCGGUGGUUCUGUAUGGAAGGGCCAUCGCUCAACGGAUAAAAGGUACUCCGGGGAUAACAGGCUGAUACCGCCCAAGAGUUCAUAUCGACGGCGGUGUUUGGCACCUCGAUGUCGGCUCAUCACAUCCUGGGGCUGUAGUCGGUCCCAAGGGUAUGGCUGUUCGCCAUUUAAAGUGGUACGCGAGCUGGGUUCAGAACGUCGUGAGACAGUUCGGUCCCUAUCUGCCAUGGGCGUUGGAAGUUUGAGAGGGGCUGCUCCUAGUACGAGAGGACCGGAGUGGACGAACCUCUGGUGUUCCGGUUGUCACGCCAGUGGCAUUGCCGGGUAGCUAUGUUCGGAAGCGAUAACCGCUGAAAGCAUCUAAGCGGGAAGCGCGCCUCAAGAUGAGACUUCCCGGGGCACAAGCCCCCUAAAGGAACCAUAUAGACUAUGUGGUUGAUAGGUCAGGUGUGUAAGUACAGCAAUGUAUUGAGCUAACUGAUACUAAUGAUCCGUGCGGCUUGACCAUAUAACCU